AUGAAGUUGCCUGUUCAACUAUUGGUGCUGCUUUUGUUCUGGAUACCUGCUUCAAUCAGUGAUGCUGUGAUGACCCAAACUCCACUCUCCAUGCCUGUCAGCUUUGGAGAUUCAGUUUCUAUCUCUUGCAAGUCUAGCCAGAGCCUUGUACAUAGUAAUGGAAACACCUAUAUGAAUUGGCUCCUGCAGAAACCAGGCCAGUCUCCAGAGCUCCUGAUCUACAAGGUUUCCAAUCGAUUUUCUGGGGUGCCAGACAGAUUCAGUGGAAGUGGCUCAGGGACAGACUUCACACUCAAGAUCAGCAGAGUGGAUCCAGAGGAUUUAGGAAUUUAUUACUGCUUGCAACAUACACAUAUUCCUCACACAGUGAUUCAGACCCUAACAAAAACAACUUCCUUGCUUGAUGUGGCCCAGCUGCAAAAUAUAUUACUCAUCUGA